CGUGUGUGAAGAAGGCCUUCGGGUUGUAAAGCACUUUUUGUCCGGGAAGAAAUCCCUGGUCCUAAUAUGGCCGGGGGAUGACGGUACUGGAAGAAUAAGCACCGGCUAACUACGUGCCAGCAGCCGCGGUAAUACGUAGGGUGCGAGCGUUAAUCGGAAUUACUGGGCGUAAAGCGUGCGCAGGCGGUGAUGUAAGACCGAUGUGAAAUCCCCGGGCUUAACCUGGGAACUGCAUUGGUGACUGCAUCGCUCGAGUAUGGCAGAGGGGGGUAGAAUUCCACGUGUAGCAGUGAAAUGCGUAGAGAUGUGGAGGAAUACCGAUGGCGAAGGCAGCCCCCUGGGUCAAUACUGACGCUCAUGCACGAAAGCGUGGGGAGCAAACAGGAUUAGAUACCCUGGUAGUCCACGCCCUAAACGAUGUCAACUGGUUGUCGGGCCUUCAUUGGCUUGGUAACGUAGCUAACGCGUGAAGUUGACCGCCUGGGGAGUACGGUCGCAAGAUUAAAACUCAAAGGAAUUGACGGGGACCCGCACAAGCGGUGGAUGAUGUGGAUUAAUUCGAUGCAACGCGAAAAACCUUACCUACCCUUGACAUGUAUGGAAUC
rnacentral:rRNA from 1 species